rnacentral:rRNA from 1 species
CCUACGGGUGGCUGCAGUGGGGAAUAUUGCACAAUGGGGGAAACCCUGAUGCAGCAACGCCGCGUGGGUGAAGGAGCUUUUCGGCGCGUAAAGCCCUGUCAGCGGGGAAGAAGAAAGACGGUACCCGACCAAGCAGCCCCGGCCAAAUACGUGCCAGCAGCCGCGGUAAUACGUAGGGGGCGAGCGGUAUCCGGAAUUACUGGGUGUAAAGGGAGCGUAGGCGGCGAGGUAAGCCUGAAGUGGAAGCCCGGGGCCCAACCGCGGAAAUGCUUUGGAAACUGUUGUGCUGGAGUGUGGGAGGGGUAAGCGGAAUUCCUGGUGUAGCGGUGAAAUGCGUAGAUAUAAGGAGGAACACCGGUGGCGAAGGCGGCUUACUGGACCAUAACUGACGUUGAGGCUCGAAAGCGUGGGGAGCGAACAGGAUUAGAUACCCCAGUAGUC